AGGAGGGAGGCAGAGAACGAGAAGGGGGCGGCCCGGGAGCCUGGGAGGUCCGGCCGCUCGGGUGCGCGCUGUGCGCAGCCUCCAUUUUGGAGUCGGGCAGCUGCGACGGAGGCCGGGUCCGGCCAGGGAAAGGAAGGAGCCAGUCAGUUUGUGCUUCAAGAAGUCUGAAUUAUUCUACCUACUAGUCCACCGGAGAGUGCUCCUCCUAAGGCUACCCCAGUGACAUCAUAUGAUGGAGUGCAAGGCUCACAGUUUAGACUUUAUCUUACGUGAUGGUGAACUGCAUCCUUCUUGAAGGUUUUUAUCUUUCCCCUCAGACCCCUUAACCUAUAUGUCUUUCUCUUCAGGUAAUUUUUCUCAGUCUCUUCAAUCCUUAUCUUCAGUUUUAGGUGGCUCAUAGUCCUACUACUGCACACUAGGCAAUCUAACCAUUCUCCUGCUUGCAAAAGCUGAAUGUACGUACAUUUAGUGAGAUCCAGAUCUGCAUAUGUGCCUUUUGGACAGUCCACUUGCCUACCAACGCCAUGUCCAAAUUGGACCUCCUAUGCUUUCUGAAGUACACAAAAUGUGCUCCUCUAUUCCUUUUCUUCUUUGACAAUAUCGCUGUCCACUCACUUUCCCAAGUCUAGAACCAGGGGUAAUCCACCAUCCACUUCCUCACUGCUUCAAAAUAUCUCUACUUGUAGAGUGAUCUGGAAUGCCCCCGAAGUCUAGUAUGUUAAAACUUGGUCUCCAGCUUGGUACUAUCCAGAGGUGGUGGAACCUUUAAGAGGUACAGCCUAAUAGGAAGUUUUCAUUCAUUGAGAUUUUGCCCUCAUAGGAGAUUGUGGAACCCUGUUUCUUCUCUUUCUCUUUCUGGUCAGGGUGUGAGCACGUUUACUCCACCACAUAGUCCCACCAUAAUGUGGCGUCUUCAUCCCCUACUAGAGGCCUAAAAGUAAUAGGUCCAUCCUAUCAUGAACUGAAAUCUCCCAAAACCCUAAGCAUUUUUUUCUUCAUUAGUUGAUCAUCUCAGGUAUUACAGUGGUGGAAAGCAGAUCAACAUAUACUAUCCUUUCUUACUUUCUUUUUGUUUAUUUUAUUUUCAUUUGUUCUACUUAGUUGUAUAUGACAGCAGAAUGUAUUUCAAAUGCCCUCUCCUGUCCAUUUCCAUUGCCAUUUAUUCAUUCGGCCAAUAUUUGCUUAAAAUGUGCCAGGCAUUGUUUGAGAUGCUCAGGAUAUAUUGGUAAACAAAACUGACAGUGUUACUGAAUAGGGUGAGACAAAUGGUAUAUGAAUAAAUUAGUAACUAAAGAAAACAAAUCAAGGUUGAUAAGUGUUAUGAAGACAAUAAAAUAGGAACAUCUAUCAGAACCUCAGAGUCCGUUGCCCAGCUCUUCACUGCAGUUUCCCUGCCCCUCUUCUCAUUCUUUCUUAUUUUCAGGAUCCUUGGUCCUAAUCCUUUCAUCUGGAGUCUUGAUUUCAUUCCCUUUCAUCUAAAAGGACUUUCUGGUCUUUAUGUUGUUAUGUUAUAGCUGCCUAAAUAGCAAAUCUCCCAAAUAGAUGAUAAGCUAUUUGAGAUCAGAGAUCAUUCAUACCUUAUAUAUCUUUGUGCCCCUGCAGUGCUCAAAGAUGAGUAUUAAAUGAAUCAGUGAGUCCCCUGACACCUGAAUCAGGAUGCCAUAAAAACAACUCCAGCCUGUAUCAGAAUGGGAAGAUCUGAAACUCACCAAUUUGAUGGAAUAGGAAUGAUACCUGGAGGCAGGGGACAGGAUUAUGAAUGAAGUCACCUAUUUUGGUACCUUCCAGACCUGAGAUUCCACAAUGCUAUUCAUCAUGUAUUGCAGUAGUUACUUCAUAAAUACUAGUUUACUUGAGAGUGUCAAGUACAUGGGGCAAUUUAUAAGUAUUCUGUUUCAGAUGAUGAGCCUCAAACCCAGAGAAGUCUGGGUGAAUUGCCAGGAUAGGCCCUGCAGGGGAAGGUUGCAAUUGCUAUUUCACUUUGUAUUUCCAGGCCCUUGGGUAUUGCACCCCAACAGGGAACGGGAUGUUGCCAGUUCCGUCAUAGUCAUUGUAAUUAAAUCCUAGUUCUGGCAAAGGGCAGUACAUAAUUAUGAAGUAUUAUGGUUUUUCUCAUUAUUAGGCACCCAGCUGCCCAGCCCAGGAAACCACAGUAGUAAAACACUGAGAAGCCAAGCUCCUCUCCCAGCUGGCAUGAAUCAAUACCAGGUGUACUGGCACAUAGUUUUACAGCUCCACAUUCAUCAAGAUGAGACCUUCUGUCCCUUCUUUUUGGCAAGAUAAAAUUUUAAGUAAAUUGUUAGAGGAAAUGUAAAGAAAGACCUUUGCCACCACUUUUGAAUCAAAUUAACAGCCUUUUCUCAUCUACAUACCUACUGCAUAAACUUUUUUUCAACUUUAUCCUUGACCUGCUCACUUCCUAAACAUCAUUCUACAAUGUCUCCUGACAUUAAAGGGCACUCAAUUAGGGUGAGAGUAUAAAACACAAGGAGUGCUUUUACUUUCAAGAAGCUUAUCAUGUAGACUACUAAUUCAAAAAGCAUAGUCAGGUUUGACAAGAAGCCUGCCACUUACUGAACACAUACCCAGUGCCAUAGUUGGCAUUUUCACCUAUUUUAUCUGAUUUAAUCCACACCACUCUGCAAGGGAGGCUUUAUAAUCCCCAUUUUCUUCAAAGUUACAAAGGCAGUAAAUGACAGAACUCAAGAGUUCAACAUAAAUGCAGAAAUUUGGUGAUUGUAUACUCAUACUGGAUUUUUCCAUACUGGUAGCUGAAUUUAUAUUCAGAUUUCACCUCUUUCUAUCAGAUAAAAAUGGUUUCUUGAAUAAAGUAGAUCUUAAACUGAGCACUGGAAGGAUAAUUCGGAAGUGAUUCUGAGGGAAUGGUGCCAAAGAAGGAGGCCAAAUUGGCCAUAAGCCUAAAAUCAAUCAGUAAGGGAGAUUUUUUUUUUGUUCGGAGAUGAGUCAUAUUAUAUUCUUCAAGUACCUUUAUUGUCUCAGCUACUCCAAAUGGGGAAGUCAAUCCAUGUGGUUCUGGGUUGGGAGGCAGGAGCUGAGGAAGGGUAGGCCAAGGAUAGGUGUGGGUUGUUUCAGGAGGAAAUAUUUUGAAUGGAGAACUCCCCAAAUGCCGAUAACUGGCAUACCUAGCAAUGCUGGGUGAGGCUGAUUGUUACAGGGAGAAGGACUAUUUGUGUAUGUGGUAUUAUUGGGGAUCAAACCCUUACUCUUGCACAUGCUGGGCAAAUACUCUGCCACCGAGGUACACCUAUUCCUCAACUUUUGUUUAGAUGACUCCAAAAUCUAGAUUUCCAGCCUUGACCUUGCUUUCAACGUUUAGAUCCCCAUUUUCAGCUACCCACUUCACUUGUCAACAGGGGUCUUACAAACAGGCAUCUCAAACCAAACAGGACUAGUGGCAAAUGCUUUAACUUAACUAUAAGAAAACUCCAAACUGCCAUUUCCUUCCCAAGCCUUUUUUUUUUUUUUUUUUUUUGUAUUCCCCAGUUUGGUAAUCAUCAUCUACCAAGUCAUAUACUCUAGAAGUUUUUCAAAAGAAUCUUUUCUUCUCCCUCUCUUCCAGCUCCUAAUGUCAGUAAGUGAUUCUAAAGGACACACACUUCUUUUAAUAGGUACUUCCCAUUUCCACUGUCCUCAUUCAGUUGCAUGAUUAUCUCAGUUGCAUGAUUGCAAAAAACUCCAAACUCCUUUUUUCAUGCUCCAAUUCAUGCACCAAUCUGCCACUAUAAUUUCUUUUGGAAACCUAGAUCUAUAUGACUUUUAAUUACCUGCUUUCAUGGGCUGUGCAACUGCAUGCAAAAUGGCAUUAAAAAUAUUUUUACUUCCACUCUGGACUCCUCUGCUCCCCACUACAGGGAGUCCUGUAUUUAUUUUCAUCUUUCUGUGCUUUUCAUCCACUCUUUGCCUGCAUUGUGCUGCCUCUUCCUCCACCUAAACACUCCUUUUCAUUUUCCAUAGGCCUGUUUAAAUGACUUUUCGUCAGUGAAGCCUUUCCAGACCUCUACCAUAAAAAUAGUCCUUCUCCCUGUAACAAUCAGCCUCACCCAGCAUUGCACCAUACAUUUAUCACACUGAAUAGACACAAUGGUGAAAUAGAACUGGGGAGCUGAGUUAGAAGACAAAAAAAUCUAAUGGGUCAUUCACUGUGCCAUCCAAUGCAAGUCACAAAACCUCUCUGAGCCUCAGUUAUUUUACUUAUAGAAUUGUAGUAAAAACAACUAUAAUUACAAAGCUGUCUUCCGAUGGGUUCUAAGUACAUUGAGAGCAAAACAAACAUCUGGUCAUCUUUCUAUUCUUUCCCCAAAAUAGCACCUAUCUCUGCCUGUUCCAUAGAUUGUUUUAUGAUAGAAAUUACUAUUUUUUUGUAGAAUUAUAUUCUCCCAAUUAUUCCCUUAAUCAUCUUAUCCUAAUAAUGUCUCUUAAAAGACAAUCAUGACAUCUUCAUUUCUUUGUAUAAUUGUUUAUUGCCUUUAUAGUUAAAUAGUCACAUAAGAAGGUCUCUGAAGGGACAAAAUAUAUAUUUUAUAUAUGAUAAAUUUUAGAGGCCUUUAUUUACUGGAUAAAAACUUUGGAAAGCCAUAACAGUGCCCUAUUCUAGACAUUUAAUCAUAUGGAAAUGAAACAAUAGUUCUCAUAAAAUAUUACAGUGAUGAACAAUAAACAUAAACCUAGAUUCUAAUCUAUAUAGUUAAAAUGUGCAGCCAAUAGAAGAUGAGCCAUUAGGUAGAUGAAAGUUCAGUUUUUAGAGUUCUAGUUCCAUGGCAGUCACUGUGCUAGGUGCAGAGAAUACAGAACUCAAUGAAUAAAAUUCUUUGUUAAAAAAAUUCACAGAUUAGUGGAAACAUUGUCUCAUAGUUUAGUAAUUUCAGUGGAAUGUUUAGGCACAAUGACAAAGCUAAGCACAAGUUAUAAUGAGAGAGUAUCAAGAAGGAAUACUGAGGCUAGGGUUGUGGCUCAUUGGUAGAGUGCUUGCCUCACAUGUGUAAGGCACUGGGUUUGAUUCUCAGCACCACAUAUAAAUAAAUGAAUAAAAUGAAGGUCCAUCAACAACUAAAAUAUAUAUUUAAAAGAGAAGGAACACCUAGUGCAGCCAGCUAUUUGAACCAGAAGUCCCACCUUCUUGAGAAGAGAACUACUGAACUUUCUUGACAUUUAUAAAUACGUGUAGCAAUCCACAUUCUAACCUUUAAUGUAAUUCUUUAUGAGUCAAUAAUUAAGUAUGAUCCUCCUCAGCAACACCUUCCAGGGUCUCCAAUUUAUUUAUUUAUUUUUUUAAAAAAUGUUUUUAGUUGUAGAAGGACAUGAUACUUUUAUUUAUUUAUUUAUUUAUUUUUAAUGUGGUGCUGGGAUCGAACACAGUGCCUCACACAUGCUAGGCAAGCACUCUACCACUGAGUCACAACCCCAGCCCCAUUUAUUUAUUUGAAGAAGAAAAAAAGAUGUGAAAAAAAUAGCAAGGACACCAAAAAUACUAGGCAGAAGCAAGGUUCUUGGAUAAGGAGAAUAAGACUCAGUAUGGUGCAGACUUCUGGAGCUGCCUGCUUAAACCAUAUCAAUGAUGUGCCUUUGGUUGAGCAUUGAUUCAGGGCUUUAUUUUUGUUUUUGAUUAAUAGCAACUAUAAAUUUUAUGAAAUUGCCAUAUGACUUCUCUCAAGCUUUUUUCUUUUUAGUAUAUGUUUAUAUUUGACCAACCAAUAUACUCACGUUUCACAAAUCAAAAAAAGAAAAUAGGUACAGAGUGAAAAGUGCCUCUCUAUCCCUACCCCUCCUGUUUGUUUCUCAUUGACCCUCAUAGGUAGAGAUAACUGUUAAGAUAGUUUUCUCUGUGUAUCCUUCCAAUGUUUCUUCAAGAAAAUAUAAACAAGUCUUUAUCUAUUUUUUUCUCUUCCCCCUUCUUACAUAAGAGGUGGCAUAUUGUAUCCCCUGAUUUGCAUCUUGCUUUUCCCUCUAGCGAUGUAUCUUAGAGUUUUUUCCUGUCAGUACUAGCAGAGCUUCCUCAUUCUUUCAAACAGCUGCAUAGAUUGCACUGCAGGAUAUGCCAUAGUUUAUUUAACCAUUCCUCCAUUGAUGAACACUUGGGUUGUUUCCACUCUUUGCUGUUUAUUAUGAACAAUGCUGUGAUGAAUAAUAAGGCAUGUAUGUAAGCAAGAAUAUCUUUAGAAUAAAUUCCCAGAAGUCUCCCAAACUUUUUAAUAAACUUUAAUAAAACCUUCUAAGGAAUGUUCUAAGAUGGUGUGACUGGGUUUCCAAAUUAGAACCUCAGCUUUCCAAGGAUUAACUUUCACAUUCCAAUAAGAGUAGUUCUUCAUUCUUGGCCUGUAAAUUAUAUCUUUGUAUUUUUUCCAAUAAGGAAACAUUUUUAUAUUCAAUCUGCCUCUCCUGAAACCAACAAUAGUUGGAAUGAUGUUUUUGGAGAAGGAGAAGGGGAAAGGUAAAGAAGACCCAAGAGAGAAUAAAAAUAUAUGAUUAUGCCCCAGUUAAUGAAUUGAAAGCACUAGAAAAUACCUGAAUUUUCUUAAUCCAUCAUACAAAAGUAUCUCUGGAAUGAGGUCUCAGGGAUAUCGGGUUUGGAGUAGAGAACUUGUAAAAUGAACCCAGGCCAACAAAGUUCUAGUGCUGCCUUCACCCCAGAGUCAGGUACCCCUCUAACAUUUUUUUAUUAAUAUCCCUUCUUUUUUUUUAACUCAAUCUUUUGAAUACAAAAAAUAUUUGUUUUAGUUGUAGGUGGACACAAUAACUUUUAUUUUAUUUUUAUGUGGUGCUGAAGAUUAAAACCAGUGCCUCAUGAGUGCUAGGCAAGUGCUCUACCACUGAGCCACAACCCUAGUCCCUUAGAAUCCCAUCUUACUUCCCUUAAUAAUUCUUUAUUUUCUCAUAGUCUCUUUUGGAAAAUUGGCUUAAGGAUUUGAUGAAGUGGGUAGAUUUUUGUAAAUGUGCUUUAUAACUGGGUAAUGUAGAGUAAGUAUUCUAUCUUUUCUUUUAAUAUUUAUUCUUAAGUUUUAGGUGGACACAGUAUCUUUGUUUUACAUUUAUGUGGUACUGAGGAUCGAACCCAGUGCCUCGUGUAUGCCAGGUGAGCACUCUACCACUGAGCCACAACCCCAGCCCCUAAAUAUUCUAUCGUUACACUAAUUUUUUUCCCUACCACUGUAGACUUUCUUAUUUUCUAGAUUUCAGAUGUAUGAGACCUGAAUGGAAUAAUCCUACGGUACUUAGUUUACAAGAGAUCUUUGGGAGAACGCAUACAAAUGCAGAAAUAUAUAUCAGUGAUACAUCAGUGAAGGCUGCCCCCCCCCUUUUUUAGAGAGAGAGAGAGAGAGAGAGAAAGAGAAUUUUUUAAUAUUUAUUUUUUAGUUUUCGGUGGACACAACAUCUUUAUUUUUAUGUGGUGCUGAGGAUCGAACCCAGCGCCCCACGCAUGCCAGGCGAGCGCGCUACCACUUGAGCCACAUCCCCAGCCCCAAGGCUGCCCCUUUAACAAUUCUGUACUUCUUAAGAAGUUACCCCAGCUGGGCAUGGUGGUAUACACCUGUAUUCCCAGCUCUGGAGGCUGAGGCAGGAGGAUCACAAGUUCAAGGUCAGCCUGGGAAACUUAGCUAGAGCCUAUCUCAAAAAUUUAAAAAAGGCUGGGAUAUAGCUAGCUCAGAGGUAAACCAUUCUCUCAGUUCAAUCCCCAGUACCAAAACAAAAUAAAAACCUACACAGCCACAGUUCUGUCAUUAUUAAAAAAAUAAAAUUAUCUUUUCACAUAGAAUUUCUCAUUGUUUCCAUCCCAUGUGGAUGGAUUAAUAAUAUUCUUAAUAAUAAAAGUCAGUAUGGACCACAUCCAAAUAAGGAGUAUUAAAAAGCCUUCCCUUUGGAUUUACUCUUAAUAUUUAUUAUUCACAUGAGAGCAUACUUAAAAUAUAUAGUAUCAAGUUACUAAAAUGUAGGUUAAAAUAUCAUUUGCAAUGGUGCCUCUUUUAGAGGAACAAGUUUUUUUAAAUUUUUUUUAAUUGUAUACGGACACAAUAUCUUUAUUUAUUUUUAUUUGGUGCUGAGGAUUGAACCCAGUGUCUCACAUGUGAGAGUCAGGCUCUCUACCACUGAGCUACAGCCCCAGCCCAAAGGAACAAGUUUUUUAUGGGAAAAUAUUUAUGGCCUCUGAAAUUAGUUCUAAUUAGAGUGAUAGUCUAUUAAUGUUUUAAGGCAUUAAGACUUAAGUGAGCAGUCUUGGGAUGAAUUAAUCUCUGGAAAAUGACAUCAAAAUGUAGGCUCAACAUCAACUGGACCAUUUUUGAACUGCUUUGGGUAACCUGAUAGAUAUUCUUUAUUAUCAAGAUUCCUUUGUUUCAUUACUUCUAAAAUUUUUCAAAAUUUCAAGGCACUUACAAAACACUUAGCUUGUUCUGGGAUAUUUUUUGUGAGUAGAUGGUAUGCAAACAAAAGGUAGAGUGACAGAUGCCAACUAUACAUUUUGCAAAAACAUCUUAUGCAUGUGUAAGCAGAGAAUUGGAUAACAUGAAAAGAGAUGUCUUAUACAGGUGGCACAUGGGAACAGGACAGGUCUUCUAAACUGGAUGGGCCUAUAAAAACAGGUGUCCUGAGCAUGUGUACAUCUGUUACACCUGUUCUUCUACAAAGAAAUUCCCUCUUAAAAUUUGAAUAGAUCUUCAGAAUCAGAUUCCAAGGUUGGCUGAGCUUAGUUCAGUUUUCCAUUAGUUUAAGAGAGACUAUGGGCACCUGAAUGGAUUGCAUAUAUUUUUGUGGUUCUUCUGAGACUUUAAUAUUUCCCCUGGCUCUUUAUUAUUUAGAGUUUAAGACUUAAAUCCUUUUACUUGGUCUGCAAAAAUAAUAAUAAUAAUCUUAUAGCAUUAAAUUCAUUGGCAAUGUGCUUUGGAGGGAAUAAAAUUGUGUUCUACAAAAGGGCUUGAAUAUACAGAAUUUCAAUGCUUCAAAUGAUGUAAUUUUCUAUAAUAUUUAGCCUGCCAUUUUUAGUUUAAUAUUGGGAUAAUAGGAGACUUUGAAGAAAAAGCUUAAGAGAGGCUAAUUUGCCUGGUAGUGCUUCUGUUCUUUUGUUCUUUUAGAAUCUAAAAUUAACCAACAUCUGCAGUGUCAACAAGGACUCCAUGUGGCAUUCAAGUUUGUACUUUUCCUAAAUAAUGCAUUUGAAGCAAUGUAAUCUGAGAGGAAUUCUGAGGUAAUAAUGAACAGAAUGCCUUUUAUUGUGUAACACUUUAUAGUUUCAAAGUGAUUUAUCAACUAGGACCUUAUUUGAUCCUCUCAACAAUAUUAAGAGGCCUGGAAAUUAAGUAUUUAUUAUUUCCAUUGACCAGAUGAGAAAACGGAGGUCCAAAGUGUUAAAGAGAUAUCAUCACAGUCAUAAACCGGGUUAAGUAGCAGCAUGAGAAUAAAACCCAAGCCAUCUGGUUCCUAACUCAGUAUCCUCUCUUCCUUAGGAUCAAGUUAUUGACAGUCCAUGUUCUAAUAGCAGUUUUCAAAAUAAUAGAUUCCACAAGCAACUCUGUAGGAAAAUAAAAAGAACUCAAUAUCAGAAACUAAAUAAUAAAUAUGCAUGUUUACAUUUCAAAAAUUUAAUGUAUUUCAUUUGCUCAAAUAAGUCAAUAGAUGUUUUCUAUAAAAUUUCAUUUGUUCCUUUUGUGAUUUUCUACUUUACCUUCAAAACAAAACUCUUUUUUCCUUGAGAAAUUAUACCUCAUAAAUUUUUAUUAGUCAUAUCUAGAAAAUUCAAAAACUUUCCAGUAAGAGAUGUUGCAACUAAGAGUAUUUUCCUCACAGUAAUAAACAUAAUUUAUGUCUACCUGAGUUUUGAAACAUUUUGUUUCAGUUUUAACUUCUGUAAAUUUCUGUGUCUUCUCAACCAUUCAGAAUUUCUGGGACAAAACCCAAGGUGGUUAAAACUUAAAGAAUGUAUUAGAAACAUAACUUGGAACUGGUACACAGUCAUGAAUUUAGAAGGGCCCAUUUUUAGUCUAAAUAAUGUUAUUGUCAAUCCUACUUUAUAGAAAUUUCUAGCUGUGUAAUAUUACCAUUUCUCUUUAAAAUGUGGUGAAAUUCAAUGGCUUUCAUUUCUUAAAAGUUUGAGACUUAAAAAUUAUGAAUGCUGGCAUUCUUGAAGUGGGACACUGUGAGUCUGUAAUGUCAAAAAGGUGCUGGCGUGUGUUCUCAAACAUUGACAGGCAGAUAUAUUUCCAACAAGUGGAAACACAGGGCUACACUGGCAAAAGGAGAAGCCAUCAAGAAUCUUAAUCAUGAUUUGGCCCCAUCUAUGCUGGUUCUGCAGAGGCUUCACAAAAGUGCAUCUUUAGGAAGCAUCUUCUACCAAGUGGAAAGCUGGCAAGAAGUAGCCUUAAACAUUGCUGACAGAGAGAAAGCAGAGCUUAUUUAAAACUAAAAACAAAACAAAAAAAAACUUUUCCAUUAACUAUUUGGAUAUGUCUCAGGAAACUACAAACAGAAAAGCAAUAUUUAAAUUUGAUACUGUCCAAACAUUCUUGCAACUCUACCCCUAUGUCUAGGAUUAGUAGAAAUAUACUGAUCUAACCUGAUAUGUUCUCUUUCUCUUACACACAUCAGCACACCUGGACAUAGGAACCAUACAAAAAGGGAUCCAGAGAAAAGGGGGCAAAGAAAAUGAUAUGGAAUGAACAAGCUACAGUGCCAAGAAUUGUCAUACUCUGGAGAAGCAAUCAGAGUCCUCAAGCUGCCUUUCGGUCUGCUGGAACAGAAGGUGCUGACAGGGGUGGGAGUGAAGGAAGGCCUCCUUUCAGUUUACUAAUUCUGCAGCCGCCCUCCACAAACUCCAGCAAAUAUUUUGUGAUGUUGCAAGGUGUUACGAGAAGUGCAAAGCAAGCUGUGAUUCAGCUGGUAUGAAGACUUUGCAAACAAAAAAGGGUGAUCCGUUUUGCAGCAGGCUAUUACUUCUGCCAGAGUCCUCAGACUGGAAUACUAAAAGAGAGAUUUCUGCAAGACAUUGCCAUCAUACAUGCUGGAUUUUCUAAACAAGACCAAUUUAAAAUAAUUUGGCCCAGUAGGUUCCAACUUGUGGCCCUCAGACCUCCAGGCACUGCAAGGAAUCUGCAAACCCAUUAAUUUGAACUGAAAGACAAGAGGAAAGAUGCAGUUGUUGGCAGAGUGGAGCCAGAAGGGUCAUGUGGACUCAGGUGCUGGAAUAGCAACUGAUGGGCCUUGUACAAGCUAUUUUGAGGGAAAGUGCCAUGAACCCUAUGGAUAAAGAAAGUUAAAGAAGAUAUCAAAGGAGCCAAAUUUUGGAGGAUGGAAAGCAGAGACACCUGGUAACAGUUGGCAGACCUGAAGAGUCAUUAUAAAGUGACAUUAAUAUAGGAAAAAAAUUUAGAAUCUUCAACAGGCCCAAGAACUGACGGCACCUCUGGAAGUACUGUGAAUUGGGAAUGUUGACUUAGGAAGACCAAUUAAAUGAAAGAUCUGUGAGAAUCAUGUGAAUUCUUGGAUUUCUUCUUUCACCCCAUUCCUUACCACUGGUUGAUUGUCUCUCCCACACUCACCAAAGUCUUGAGGUGAAGGCUACUGAGAGGAAAAUAGAUAGCUUCGAGAUGAAGGAGCACGAGGCACAGGUGAGGGUAUUUAAAGACUCCCUGCUCUCUUCUUCCACUUAAUCCUUCAGGCAAGAGAAAUUAGAGGACUAUCUGAUGGGGAAUACCUAGAUAUAAAAUUUAAGAGUCCACUCAUGAACAUCCCAGACAGAUCAUCCUACAUCAGCAAUUCUCAGCUGAAGGCUUAUGGCAAUCUCUAGAGACAUGUUGAAUUGCCACAAACCCAGGGGCUGGGGUUACCAAUGGCAUGGGAUGUGCUACUGGCAUCUAGCACAUAGAAGUCAAGGAUGCUACUGAACAUCCUAUAGUGCACAAGGAAAGUUUCCUUCAACAAAGAGUUAUCCAGUCAAAAGUGUCAUUAGAGAAACUCUGCCUUACAUUAAACCCAUGGUCAACUGGCCCACCAGUAUAAGCAGAGUUGCCAAACAAUCCAACAGUGUCCCUGCUCUAUUAAGAGUAAGCAGACAACAAAAAAAUGAUCAUAUAGCUGAGAAUCAAGCUGGAACUACCAGUCAGUUAUGAGAUCACAAGA